rnacentral:rRNA from 1 species
UACGUAGGGUGCGAGCGUUAAUCGGAAUUACUGGGCGUAAAGUGUGCGCAGGCGGCGGAGCAAGUCGAGUGUGAAAGCCCCGGGCUUAACUUGGGAACUGCGCUCGAAACUACUUUGCUGGAGUGUGGCAGAGGAAGGUGGAAUUCCAGGUGUAGCGGUGAAAUGCGUAGAUAUCUGGAGGAACACCGGUGGCGAAGGCGGCAUCCUGGACCGGUAUUGACGCUGAUGCGCGAAAGCCAGGGGAGCAAACGGG